rnacentral:rRNA from 1 species
AGCGAACGCUGGCGGCAGGCUUAACACAUGCAAGUCGAGCGGGCACCUUCGGGUGUCAGCGGCAGACGGGUGAGUAACACGUGGGAACGUGCCCUUUGGUUCGGAACAACUCCGGGAAACUGGAGCUAAUACCGGAUAAGCCCUUCGGGGAAGGAUUAUCGCCAAGAUCGGCCCGCGUCUGAUUAGCUAGUUGGUGAGGUAAUGGCUCACCAAGGCGACGAUCAGUAGCNGGUCUGAGAGGAUGAUCAGCC